rnacentral:rRNA from 1 species
CUACGGGUUGCUCCAGUGGGGAAUAUUGGACAAUGGGGGAAACCCUGAUCCAGCAAUGCCGCGUGUGUGAAGAAGGCCUGCGGGUUGUAAAGCACUUUCGGUUGGGAGGACUGCUUCUAGCACUAAUAUUGUUGGAAGUUGACGUUACCUUCAGAAGAAGCACCGGCUAACUCCGUGCCAGCAGCCGCGGUAAUACGGAGGGUGCAAGCGUUAAUCGGAAUUACUGGGCGUAAAGCGCGCGUAGGCGGCUAGAUCAGUCGGGUGUGAAAGCCCCGGGCUUAACCUGGGAACUGCAUCCGAUACUGUCUAGCUUGAGUACAGGAGAGGAUAGUGGAAUUCCACAUGUAGCGGUGAAAUGCGUAGAUAUGUGGAGGAACACCAAUGGCGAAGGCAGCUCUCUGGCCUGAUACUGACGCUGAGGUGCGAAAGCGUGGGGAGCAAACAGGGUUAGAUACCCCCGUAGUC